GAUGAACGCUGGCGGCGUGCUUAACACAUGCAAGUCGAGCGAAGCACUCCAUCGGAAUUCUUCGGAAGGAAGAUGGUUUGACUGAGCGGCGGACGGGUGAGUAACGCGUGGGUAACCUGCCUCACACAGGGGGAUAACAGUUAGAAAUGACUGCUAAUACCGCAUAACCCGCUAGGGCCGCAUGGCCCGGACGGAAAAGAUUUAUCGGUGUGAGAUGGACCCGCGUCUGAUUAGCUAGUUGGUGAGGUAAGGGCUCACCAAGGCGACGAUCAGUAGCCGACCUGAGAGGGUGAUCGGCCACAUUGGGACUGAGACACGGCCCAA
rnacentral:rRNA from 1 species